rnacentral:rRNA from 1 species
CACGUAGGGUGCGAGCGUUGUCCGGAAUUAUUGGGCGUAAAGAGCUCGUAGGCGGUGUGUCGCGUCGGCCGUGAAAACCUGCAGCUUAACUGUGGCUUGCGGUCGAUACGGGCAUCACUGGAGUUCGGCAGGGGAGACUGGAAUUCCUGGUGUAGCGGUGAAAUGCGCAGAUAUCAGGAGGAACACCGAUGGCGAAGGCAGGUCUCGUGGGCAUUAACUGACGCUGAGGAGCGAAAGCAUGGGGAGCGAACAGG